rnacentral:rRNA from 1 species
UACGGAGGGUGCGAGCGUUAUCCGGAUUCACUGGGUUUAAAGGGUGCGUAGGUGGGAAUGUAGGUCAGUGGUGAAAUCUCUGAGCUUAACUCAGAAACUGCCAUUGAUACUAUGUUUCUUGAAUUUUCUGGAGGUCAGCGGAAUAUGUCAUGUAGCGGUGAAAUGCUUAGAUAUGACAUAGAACACCAAUUGCGAAGGCAGCUGGCUACAGGGAUAUUGACACUGAGGCACGAAAGCGUGGGGAUCAAACAGG